GACGAACGCUGGCGGCGUGCUUAACACAUGCAAGUCGAACGGUAAGGCCUUGCUCUUGUAGGGUGCUCGAGUGUCGCACAGGGGUGUGUCACGUGAGUAUCCUCCCCUUGACUUUGGGAUAACUUCAUUAAACUGGGUCUCUUACCCCAUAUAAGCUCCUGCUUCAUGUUGCGUUUUGUAAAGUUUCGGCGUUUCGUCAUUGACUCGCGGUGUAUCAGCUUGUUGGUGGGGUGGUGGCUUACCAAGGCAUUAACGCAUCGCUGACUUGACAGGGUGACAGGCCACACUGGGACUGAGACACGGCCCAGACUGCUACGGGAGGCAGCAGUAGGGAAUCUUCGGAAAUGGACGGAAGUCUGACCGAGCAACGCCGCGUGAGUGAAGAAGGUUUUCGGAUAGUAAAGCGCUGUUGUAAGAGAAGAACGAGUGUGAGAGUGGAAAGUUCACAAUGUGACGGUAUCUUACCAGAAAGGGACGGCUAACUACGUG
rnacentral:rRNA from 1 species